UGUUGAGGACUAGCACACCAGGAGUCUAGCAGGGGACCUCUCCUGCCACAUCUUGCAUGAUUGAUGGCUGGAAGUGGUUGUGGUUGCUUCAGUCUGUCCUGUAUACCCAGCCAAGGAAAACUGAUAUUUUAAUUCUUUAUUGUCGGGGAAUGAACUGAACAGGAAGACUUGGAAGUGUCCACUCAGUCUGUUUGGCUCCUCUCAGAAGAGGAGGGAGAGUGGGAAGGUUCGCCCCCUUGUCUCCAGCAGUUUCAAGAGGAGAAGAAGGCAGAACUGAAUUAUAGCUGAAGGUAGUGGUGGAGGAGGGGGGAGUGAGAGAGCAGACUGCAGAGAUCUCCCUGGAAAGUUUGGAGAUUCUCCUUCUCCAAGGGCUCAUCACUCACUCUGCAUUCAGGUGCAAAGAAUGCAGAGGCGUGUGAUUCCCGGGAUUUUCUGUAGGUACUCAGGAUAUUGUUGGAAAUGGAAGAGGUGAUCUUCAGAGUAGGCAACAUCUCCUUUGUAGAAAGAGGUGGAUUUGCCCUGCCAGACUUUAAACUUUACUAUGAAUCAGCAGCUUUUUGCUGGUUGAAAGAAUGGCUGCUUCUUGAAAACACAGACAUUUUGGAUUUAGAAGGUUUUAACAACGUAUUUGGAUGGCAUGCAUAUCUGUGGUAUGAUAAGGUCAAAGCACAUAAAGCAUUUAAAAACCAUAUUGUCAGGAAAGCAUUGUUUAAUGUUUGGAUAAGAUAUAAGGACUUAUUGGAAGACAAAACCCCAAGGUGGCUGUCACCGAUGGAAGUGAAAACUCAGAAAAAGCUCAAUAUGGAGGUCAAAUGGCCGAAAUAUUGGGAAAUUUUGGAACAAGAUGGAGAAAAACUGAAACUGCAGAGUUUUGAGAAAUUAAAAAACAAAGUGCGAGACUGGCUUCAUUAUUAUCAGAUAAUGGAGGCAUAUAAUUUGGACAAGAAAAUUGGCUUCCAGGUGGAAAAAUCAAAAUUAGAAACAGAACUGUUAGAACCCAAAACUAAGAUUUUGUCAAAGAUGUAUAACUUGCUGUUGAAAUGGAAUACUCAGGAUGAAACGGUGAAAUCUGCUAUGAUUAAAUGGGCACAAGAUGUUGGACAUAACAUAAUGAUGGCUGACUGGGAACAGUUAUGGACCACAGGUAUGAAGUUUACGGCAUGCAAUGCCUUAAGAGAGAAUAUUAUGAAAAUGAUAUACAGGUGGUACAUGACCCCAGUCAAGCUUGCAAAAAUCUAUCAUUUGCCCGAUAAUAAAUGUUGGAAAUGUAAAGAAACUGAAGGUACAUUCUUUCACCUUUGGUGGACGUGCCCAAGGAUUAAGGCUUUCUGGGAGAUGAUUUAUAAUGAAUUGAAAAAGGUAUUUAAAUAUACCUUCUUGAAGAAACCAGAGGCCUUUCUCCUGGGCAUAGUCGGCCAAUCGGUGUUAAAGAAGGAUAGAACUUUCUUUAUGUAUGCCACAAGAGCAGCAAGAAUACUUAUUGCAAAGUAUUGGAAGACACAAGACCUACCCACUCUGGAAGAAUGGCAGAUGAAGGUGAUGGACUACAUGGAAUUGGCGGAAAUGACUGGCAGAAUCCGAGACCAGGGAGAAGAGUCAGUGGAAGAAGAUUGGAGGAAAUUUAAAGACUAUUUACAGAAAUACUGCAAAAUUAAUGAAUGCUAGAAUGAUGUUGGAUUGAAGUUAAGUGGUUUUUAGCUGUAAUGGUAUAAAAGAAUAUGGAAAAAUGGAUUUUUAACAGGUAAAAAAUUAAUGCUAUAAUAUAUUAAGAUAAAAGAUCAGGAUAAAAUAAAGAGGGAAAGGAUUUGCUGAACUAAUAAAUUGAACUGGAAUACAAAAAAGGGAGGUAUGAGGAGGUCCGGGAAACAAGCAAAUGAAAGAUAAGUGAUGUAAAGAUUGAAUUGUUUUUAACUAUUUUUAUUUUGUAUUUUUUAUUUUUUUUAUUUUUCAUUUUGUAAUAUUGUGAAAACCCUAAUAAAUAUCUUUUUUUUAAAAAAAGGAAAGUUUGGAGAUCCUCCUUCUCCAAGGGCUCAUCACUCACUCUGCAUUCAGGAACAGAGAAUGCAGAGGAGUGUGAUUCCCGGGAUUUUCUGUAAGUACUCAGGAUGUUGUUGGGGAUGGAAGAGGUGAUCUUCAGAGUAGGCAACAUCUCCUUUGCAUGGAGACCUGGAUUCUUUGUCUUGCAAC